AAAAAAAAUAUAUCAAUGAGCUUCAAGGCCUGUUGAAUUGCACAUGGGAAGGAGAACUGGUAGGGUCCAGGGACGGGUCCAGGAGGCUUUGCUGGCAUCCAACACCAGCUUUCGUGCUCAGAUGGCUCAGGUCAUGGCUUGAGAAAUGUUAACUCUUCAAGUGAAGUUCGGAGCCAAAACCAAUUCUUCUUGGAGGAAAUACCAGCAUUUCUGCUAGUGCCUCAUAGCUGAAAAACAGAAGUGAACACACAACUGCUGGCUGCGUUUAGACUGGAAGUCCUCUGGAAAAAGCACUGCGGCAUCCCUCGGCCAUUGGUGGCAGCGCUACGGAGUGGACUGCUCGGCUUUGCUUUGAUUGGAAUGGAAGGCAGACUUGCUACUUGAGGACACUCCGUAAUGCGUGCAUCUAGAGGAGAGAUUACAAGUUGCACCAUCAGCAGCCAAGCAAGGUCUGAGCCACAAGGAAAGAUCUGAGUCAUCUCCCCGAGAGAGUAUUUUAGCCAUACAUCAUUGUUUGUUUUCAGGCAAACCAGUACAAUUAUGCAACAUAAAUUCUUUUAAAGCAUUCGGGACUUCAGUUCAAUUUAAAAUCCUGUAGGUUUUAUGGCCAGGAUGAGUGAUUACAAAGCGUGUGCAUACAAAUGAAGACUUAGGAAGAAGCAUGUGGGGAGGAUGAAAGGGUGCAUGGAGCCUCAUGCGCUCGCUGGGCAAGCUCCGGCCAGGCUGCAACAAAGGGUGGGAGAUCUGAAGGGCCCACGUCAAAGGCAGGUUAUGAUAUUUAUGGCUCUGGAGCACGGUUUCACUCACCCAGUGCCAUGAGCAUUUUCUGUGAUUGCAAUCUCCUACAAACGCUUUUCUAUGGGCUUCAGUAGAGCCAGGUGACUUUGUCUGGAUUACCUCCUGAUUUAUGCUGCCUUGAAUGGGGAUGAGGAUCUGAUCUAUUUAAAAACAAGACUCGGCUGCAACAGAAAUAGAGGGAGGCAUUAAAAUAUCUGCCAUCUGAAUAUUUCAUCACUCCGGGAAAGUGCUAAGCAGGGGCUUGAGGCUCAGAUGCCAUCCUCGGGCAGAAGGACAGGCUGGCAGUGGGGACACUGAGCCCACCCGCCCCCUUGCAGUGUCACCAAGCUCCUGUGGGGAAAUCAGAGCCGUGGCUGAGCUGCUUUUACCCCAGCCCCUGCCUCCUUUCUCUCCCGAGGUAGCACCGCAUCCCUGUCAUUUAAAGACGUGGUGCUUGCUGCCUGCAAGCUCGGCCUCCGCUGCACAGCCCCAGGAGCUGCAGACCCAGGUGGGGAACCAGGACCUAGAGGCACAACGAGUAGAAAGCAAAGAUCCCACAGCUUGGCUUAAUGUGCUUUCUUCGAGGCAUACUGUCAUGGUUUUUGGAGGCCUGGCAGUUAAAUCAGUUUACAAUGCCAGCUACCUGUUUGUUUAUUUCUCCUUCUGUACAGAGGAGUAGAGUCUACGGUGUUUUGUUCCCUCUCUCUCAUUUAGGUGAACAUACAGAUAGGUUUGUGUCUCAGUAUUCUGCUUUUACUUACACUGAUGUAAAUUCCACUGCAGCAGGAGGGAUUAUUGACAGCGGAUCUGAGACGAUCCAAGGCCAGACUCUGACCUAUUGAUUUUGCCAAGAUUGCACAGGACGUAUGUAGUUCAUUGCAGAAUACAGUCUUUGUUUGUUUUGUUUAUUGCUCAAUAUAUAACAAUGUGGAAUAAAGAACGACGCCAAACUGC